rnacentral:rRNA from 1 species
CCUACGGGGGGCAGCAGUGGGGAAUAUUGGACAAUGGGGGCAACCCUGAUCCAGCCAUGCCGCGUGUGUGAAGAAGGCCCUCGGGUUGUAAAGCACUUUCAGUGAGGAAGAACGCCUGGUGGUUAAUACCCAUCAGGAAAGACAUCACUCACAGAAGAAGCACCGGCUAACUCCGUGCCAGCAGCCGCGGUAAUACGGAGGGUGCGAGCGUUAAUCGGAAUUACUGGGCGUAAAGCGCGCGUAGGUGGCUUGAUAAGCCGGUUGUGAAAGCCCCGGGCUCAACCUGGGAACGGCAUCCGGAACUGUCAAGCUAGAGUGCAGGAGAGGAAGGUAGAAUUCCCGGUGUAGCGGUGAAAUGCGUAGAGAUCGGGAGGAAUACCAGUGGCGAAGGCGGCCUUCUGGACUGACACUGACACUGAGGUGCGAAAGCGUGGGUAGCAAACAGGAUUAGAUAUCCGUGUAGUC